GCCAGACUCCUACGGGAGGCAGCAGUGGGGAAUAUUGCACAAUGGGGGAAACCCUGAUGCAGCGACGCCGCGUGAGCGAUGAAGUAUUUCGGUAUGUAAAGCUCUAUCAGCAGGGAAGAAAAUGACGGUACCUGACUAAGAAGCCCCGGCUAACUACGUGCCAGCAGCCGCGGUAAUACGUAGGGGGCAAGCGUUAUCCGGAUUUACUGGGUGUAAAGGGAGCGUAGACGGUCCUGCAAGCCAGAUGUGAAAGCCCGGGGCUCAACCCCGGGACUGCUUUUGAAACUGUACAGCUUGAUUGCAGGAGAGGCAAGUGGAAUUCCUAGUGUAGCGGUGAAAUGCGUAGAUAUUAGGAGGAACACCAGUGGCGAAGGCGGCUUGCUGGACUGUAAAUGACGCUGAGGCUCGAAAGCGUGGGGAGCAAACAGGAUUAGAUACCCGGGUAUG
rnacentral:rRNA from 1 species